UACAGAGGGUGCGAGCGUUGUUCGGAAUUAUUGGGCGUAAAGCGCGUGUAGGCGGGAUGGCAAGUCGGGUGUGAAAGCCCUCAGCUCAACUGAGGAAGUGCGCCCGAAACUACUGUUCUUGAGUAUCGGAGAGGGUGGCGGAAUUCCCGGUGUAGAGGUGAAAUUCGUAGAUAUCGGGAGGAACACCAGUGGCGAAGGCGGCCACCUCG
rnacentral:rRNA from 1 species